UAAUACGUAGGAGGCGAGCGUUAUCCGGAUUUACUGGGCGUAAAGGGGGUGCAGGCGGCCUUUCAAGUCGGAUGUGAAAUCUCCUGGCUUAACCAGGAGGGGUCAUUCGAUACUGUUGGGCUAGAGGGCAGCAGAGGGAGGUGGAAUUCCCGGUGUAGUGGUGAUAUGCGUAGAUAUCGGGAGGAACACCAGUGGCGAAGGCGGCCUCCUGGGCUGUGCCUGACGCUGAGGCCCAAAAGCGUGGGGAGCAAACAGGAUUAGAUACCCUGGUAGUCCACGCCAUAAACUAUGGACACUAGGUAUGGGGAGUAUCGACCCUCUCCGUGCCGAAGCUAACGUUUUAAGUGUCCCGCCUGGGGAUUACGGCCGCAAGGCUA
rnacentral:rRNA from 1 species